ACAUGAGCCGAAGGCAGUCACUUCAUUGAGGGCGCCCAGGCGCCCCUCCUGCACUUCUUUAAUAGACAUCUCAGACUUAUGUCCAAAAUCGAACUCUUGAUUUUCUUCCACAACCCCACCAGAAACCCGUUCCACGGUUUUCUCCCUCUCAGCUGUUGGCGACUCCAUCCUUCCAGUUGCUCAAGCUAAAAACCUUUGGAGUCAUCCUUGACUCCUAGUCUCCUAUAUCAAUCCAUCAAGAAGUCCUGUCGGUUCUACCUUCAAAAUAUAUCCAGAAUCUGACCCCCUUUUUUUUUUUAUCACCUCCCCUAACACCAAGGCACUACCGUCUCUCACCCGGAUUGCUGGAAUGAUCUCUUAAAUGGCCUCCUGCUUACAAGCUUGCCUGUCUACAGUCAUUCAGAGCGAUCCCAUCAAAAUACCGUGAACACCUACAAAGUCUGCCUUCCAAGAGCAGCUCCUCUGGAGAAGCGGAGAUAAAGAUAACCAAGGAAACUCUCCCUGCCCUUGAGGAACCCACACUUCAGUGAGUCAUAUAACCUAACAAGUAAUUAGAAUGGAAAUGCUCAAAGCAGUUGGAUGUGAGAGAGUCUGAGGCCCCGGGGAACAGUGCGGUUUGGGGCACUCUUCAGCCUGGGUAGUAGUUAAAACCAUGAGUUCACCCGAAGAGAAUGUAAGAAAUGAAAAGCACUCAGGAGACACCGGUGUUUAAAGGGUGAAGGUCAGAGACAGGAGGCCAAGAAGGAAUAAUAGUAAUCAAAGCCGUGAAGAAGAGCUGGAAGAAUGAGCCCGAUGUCGGCGCUACUAGAACCUUUGCAGAAUACUGCUAAUGAUCAAGCCAGGACCAUUCCUCACAACUCACUACGUAUCUGCUACUGCUCCAAGCAUGUUUCCUAUAAUCACACAUUAAACCCAGGGAGUGAGGCACUAUGACCCUAUCUUACUGAGAAAACGGAUUCACCCGCCCAAGUGCAUGCACACACCUACUAAGAGACCGUUAUGCAUAUUAAAGAAGGGGGGGCGGCAAAUACAAAAGAAAAAUAAGCGAGAAAGAGUGAGAGAGUGAACAAAUCAGGAUGCAUGAGGGAAUCCACGUGGUCGCCAAUCUGUAACUGAUCAGAGCAGCUACACUGAAGCAAAACCCCCAGCGCCUACCGCCAAAUACAUUGCAAUGGAGAAACGGUCCACAAUGGUGUGUCUAUAUCCUUACCAGAGUCUUGGGGCUGCCGCUUAAGAGACUCUCCCGCUACUCCCACCCCUUUUGCACCCAGUAAA